rnacentral:tmRNA from 1 species
GUAAAGGUUUCGACGGGGAUUAUGAAGCUGGAGAAGCGAGUCGUAUGGUAAUGCGUUAAAUGGCCAAACUAAAAUUAAACGCUGAAGAUAAUUUAGCAUACGCUGCCUAGUUGCAGCAGUCCACUCUAGAGCACUCACACUUUAGAAUCUGGGCUUCGACCAUGUGAGAAACGACUUAUGCAAAGCUUUGAGCAUAUGGGCGUAACAUGAAGCUACUAAAGCCACUCGGUUGUUUGUUCCUGAGUGGUGGAGGGAAUGUUUAAGGAUAAACUACACUCGUAGAAGGACAGGGAAUUGAUUUUCGGACACGGGUUCGACUCCCGUCUAGUCCACU